rnacentral:rRNA from 1 species
CAGUCGCCGCGGUAAUACGUAGGUGGCAAGCGUUGUCCGGAAUUAUUGGGCGUAAAGGGCUCGCAGGCGGUUUCUUAAGUCUGACGUGAAAGCCCCCGGCUCAACCGGGGAGGGUCAUUGGAAACUGGGAAACUUGAGUGCAGAAGAGGAGAGUGGAAUUCCACGUGUAGCGGUGAAAUGCGUAGAGAUGUGGAGGAACACCAGUGGCGAAGGCGACUCUCUGGUCUGUAACUGACGCUGAGGAGCGAAAGCGUGGGGAGCGAACAGGAUUAGAUACCCCAGUAGUCCCUGUCCUUAUACA